GAUGAACGCUGGCGGCGUGCCUAAUACAUGCAAGUCGAGCGAACAGAUGAGGAGCUUGCUCCUCUGACGUUAGCGGCGGACGGGUGAGUAACACGUGGAUAACCUACCUAUAAGACUGGGAUAACUUCGGGAAACCGGAGCUAAUACCGGAUAAUAUAUUGAACCGCAUGGUUCAUUAGUGAAAGACGGUUUUGCUGUCACUUAUAGAUGGAUCCGCGCCGCAUUAGCUAGUUGGUAAGGUAACGGCUUACCAAGGCAACGAUGCGUAGCCGAUCUGAGAGGGUGAUCGGCCACACUGGAACUGAGACACGGUCCAGACUCCUACGGGAGGCAGCAGUAGGGAAUCUUCCGCAAAGGGCGAAAGCCUGACGGAGCAACGCCGCGUGAGUGAUGAAGGUCUUCGGAUCGUAAAACUCUGUUAUUAGGGAAGAACAAAUGUGUAAGUAACUAUGCACGUCUUGACGGUACCUAAUCAGAAAGCCACGGCUAACUACGUG
rnacentral:rRNA from 1 species